UUCACUGAAACUUUAUUGGAGCAGGUUCUUUUGUUUGCCAGUUCUAAUGGAACUCUUUCAUUCCUUCAGCCUCCAGUGUUAUUUCAACACUUUCCUUUGAUUCAAACCGCUUGAACAGCAUCACAAAAGGAGGUCCCAAUGCUAACGUAAGCCAAAGGUACCUCAGUCUUUCUUUUCUCCCAGGACCGGAUAGUUCCAGACCCUCAGCCCAGUCGUUCACCCCAGGAAUCCUUCAGGUAGAGAUCAGUCGAGAUGGAGAAAGGUUAUCCCGGGGAUGGUACUUCCGCCCCUUACCCAGGACCUCCCAUGAACUAUGGGGGGAUGGCAACGGGCCAGGGCCCCCAGCCAGGCUUGUACCCCCAGCCCCCAGGUGGAUACCCUGCCUCCCCUGGUCCUCCACAACCAGGGUUCCAGCCUGGUCCCUACCAGGGAGGUCCCCAAGCAGGUGUGUACCCACCUCCACCACAGUACACCUCUGGACCAGGUGGACCGGUGCCAGUCGGUGAGUUGAUACUUCCACUUCCACCACACACACACACAGUGUUGUACAGCUAACCUUGUGGGGACACAAAAUUCAGUCCCAUUAAAAAUCCUAUUUUCCCUAACCCCUAACCUUAACCCUAACCCUAACUCUAACACCUACCCUUACCCUUACCCUAACCCUAACCUUAACCCCGAAACCUAACCUUAACCCUAAACGUAACCCUAGCUCUCUACCCUGACCCUAAAACUAACCCUAGCUCCUAACCCUAAACCUAAUUCUUACCCUAACACUAAUUCUAACAUUAACCCUAAACCCCCUAGAAAUAGCAUUUGACCUUGCGGGGACUAACAAAGUGUCCCCAGUUGGUCACAUUUUGGUUUGUUUACUAUACUUGUGGGGACUACACACACACACACAUGCACACACACAUAAUCAAAGGUUAAUUGGGGUCAAUGCGAGCUAAAUAAGGAACUUACUCGAAGAGUAACCCAAAUGCAUGACAUGACAUGUUUGAACACAACUUGUGACUUCAACUUGUGACCCGAGUAGAAUUAUUUCCCCGGAAUUGACCCAAACUGCCCCCUCCAACACUAGCUGUACAUAGUUCAGACUGAAACAGUAUCGUUUAGUCCAGUUGCCCACCACAGCGCAUUCAUAUGAAAAUGUGAACAUAUUCAGUCUCUGUGUGGGCAGCCUGAGCAGUGCCUGCUUGUACAGGAAGGCCCUGGACAGGAGAGGUGGGCGGGAACAGGAAUUCAUGGAAAGAAUUGAACAUAGUAUUUUCAGGAAUGAGAAAGGAAAGGGAAAUACCGGGGAAAAAACUCACAGAAUAUCUAUGAACUGUAUCCAAAGCUGCU